rnacentral:rRNA from 1 species
GCGUGAGUGAAGAAGGCCUUCGGGUUGUAAAGCUCUUUCAUCAAUGAUGAUAAUGACAUUAGUUGAAGAAGAAGCCCCGGCUAACUUCGUGCCAGCAGCCGCGGUAAUACGAAGGGGGCUAGCGUUGUUCGGAAUCACUGGGCGUAAAGCGUAUGUAGGCGGAUCAAAAAGUUAGAUGUGAAAUCCCUGGGCUCAACCCAGGAACUGCAUUUAAAACUAGUGAUCUAGAAUUUGGUAGGGGUUAGUAGAAUUUCCAGUGUAGAGGUGAAAUUCGU